rnacentral:rRNA from 1 species
AGAGUUUGAUCCUGGCUCAGGAUGAACGCUAGCUACAGGCUUAACACAUGCAAGUCGAGGGGAAACGAUAUUGGAAGCUUGCUUCCGAUAGGCGUCGACCGGCGCACGGGUGAGUAACGCGUAUCCCACCUGCCCACCACUUGGGGAUAACCUUGCGAAAGUAAGACUAAUACCCAAUGACGUCUCUAGAAGACAUCUGAAGGAGAUUAAAGAUUUAUCGGUGAUGGAUGGGGAUGCGUCUGAUUAGCUUGUUGGCGGGGUAACGGCCACCAAGGCGACGAUCAGUAGGGGUUCUGAGAGGAAGGUCCCCCACAUUGGAACUGAGACACGGUCCAAACUCCUACGGAGGCA